ACAAGGCACAGCAUUGCUCAAUUCACAAGCUCCGUUGUAUCUGAAUCUCUGUGAAUGGAGAACCUAAUCUCUUUGGUGAACAAAAUCCAGAGGGCUUGCACCGCUUUAGGUGACUACGGCGAAGCUAGUGCUUUGCCCACUCUGUGGGACUCUCUCCCCGCUAUAGCCGUCGUCGGUGGCCAGAGUUCCGGAAAGUCCUCUGUCUUGGAGAGUAUUGUUGGCAAGGAUUUCUUACCUCGUGGAUCAGCUUCACAAGACUGACGAGGGAAGCAGAGAGUAUGCAGAAUUUCAACACCUUCCCACCAUCGCAAAGCUCACCAAACUCAAGUUCCUCACCUUAAAAAAGAGGGGUAUAUUUGUCAUGCAUUUUUAACCUUUUUCACUUAUCCGAUACCCUUAACUAAAACCACCUCUUGAAAUGGCUUCCCCAACAGUGUCGAUAUCUGAUUUUUGCACUUGAGAUUGCUUUGCAGGGGAAACGGCUUUGCUGGGGAAAUUUUCCUCAAAGCUUCAACCAAACGUGAUUGAGUGAGAUUUCCACAUGCACUUACCCACCAAAAUUUCAACUUCUCCCCAACCAAACACUACCUUAAGAUUAAAAAAAUUUAACUGCUAUCAAAUAAUAAAAAAUAAAAAGUUAUUUAGUCAUACUGAAAAUGUGAUUAACUUUGGAAUUUUAACUAAGACAAGGCCCCCACACCUAACAUGGCUCUGCUGCCACAACAAUGACAGACCCAAAAAAUUUUAUUUAUGUCUGCACAUUAAGUGGCGGGGGCUGCCCCCGAAAAUUUUUUUUUGUAAAAAAAAUUUAAAUCAACACUUGAACCCGCUUAUAAUCUAGUUGUUUCCAUAACAAGCUGCAGGCAAUAGUUUGACCAAUUAUUUUUCUCUUAAAUCUUACCAAUCCUCCAAAACAAAAAUGAAAAUAUACUCCGAUGCAUCCAUACAUCAUCAUUCUAUUUUAUAGUGAUGAAUAAAAAAGUCAACACUACCUGUACAGAAGGCAAGCAAAAUCACAGUGAAGACCUCAUCUCUAGAUAUUAACUUAUUUGAAAAUGUCCUCUCUUUUUAUAAAAAUGAAACAGGAAACAAAGGAUGAAGAGAGCAUGGGGAAUGGGUACAUGACAGGGGAGGAAAAAUAAGUUUUCUCUCUAAUCAAUUUGCAUUGCUACGUUGUUUUAAUCAUUUCUGUACGUUGUUACGUUGCUAACUAAUAUAAGAAUAAAUAUCAUUUUUGAUCCCUAACAAAAAAUUAUGUUCGCACUUUAGUCCAUUAUAAAAAAAAUUAGUCACCUGGUCCCAAUGAAAUUCAAAGUGGAUCCAUUUUGGUCUUUUUGAGGAAUUAAUGUAGGUCUUUUUUGAAUUUGUGAGGCACUAUGAUUUUAACUAAAUUGAUCAACUUUAAAUUUUCUAGAGACCUCGAGACUAUUUUUUUUUUUUUUGCAAGGGACUAA